rnacentral:misc_RNA from 1 species
AUUAAGGCCGACCCAAGUCUAAGAAAGACCGAAACACCUUGGACCUCAAUGCGUUUCUACCCUCUUCUCACCUCCAGUAAAUGGCGUUUGGCUGGUGUAUUUGGCUUCCGAUCAGUGGUACGCUAGGUUUGAUUCAGAUUUUGGUUGGAGCAUUCGGAUUUUUGUGCUGAUCUGAAGAAGUUUGCUGGUUGUUGGUGAUAUUUUCUCGUUCUUACCAUUAGUUUUUCUACCAAUUUCUGGUUUUCGAUGGUGGUUAGGGGUGCCAUUAGAUGGUUUGGUGGUUUUGAAUUUCUGUGCGCUGUUAUCCAGUGAUUUUGAAUUUGGAGUUUGAGGCUCUUGUAUUGCGCUUCUCCAAACAUAGUGUUAUAAGGGCACGGGACUACUAGGCUUGAUCCAUGAAAAUUUCGGGCCUCAUUGGCUUUUCCCUGCUAAUUAAUAAUUAGCAAUAGUAAUACAGUAGUAGGCAAACAUUAAACGGUGCGUUUAGCUGUAGCAGAUGGGGGAAAUGAUAGCGUACCACGUGGAAGACACAAUAAAAUCGGGUUCGUUAUCGUUAUCUUCUUUUGUUGAGCUCUGUGUAAGACAGUGCAAAAUACUUUACAGCAAGUCUCUUUGCUUCACUGACCGGGAAUGGCAUCGAGAGAGAACUCCACGAGCACGGUUCCGAGUGUUGCACCUAGCUUUGUCUUGCUCUCAUCGUGGAUUGCUCACAACCCGUUUCUGAGACCUUUGAAGCUGAAUCUCGCAUCUCCAAAUGGUAUGAUACGUGAGCUCCACUUGUCCCUCACUUCGACGGCUGAAAAAUGCUCGAGGUUCCUUCACUUGUUUGCCUCUGAAAAUCCCAUUUUCAAGAGAUUACUCUCUUUCUCUUCCCAUUUUAGGCAUCAUCUUGCCCAGUUUCAAUGCAGGGAUUAUAGGAAUCCAAAUUCUCUGUCCAAUCACAGCUUUGCUGCAGUAUUACCGGGAGAUUCAGUGGCAGGGAUUGUGGUAGCUAAUGGCAUUAUCAAUUUUCUGAAUAUAUACAACACGCUGUUGAUUGUAAGGCUGGUUUUGACCUGGUUUCCCAACUCUCCUCCUGCCAUUGUCAGUCCCCUCAGGUGCACAUCCUAACUUCUAGAAAUUUGUCUGAGACAUUAAACUUGUAGUGAUUUAAGAUUAUUGUGAUGUAAAUGCUAAGAGAUGACCUCUAUGGAUGCAUUGAACAUAUCUACUGUUCCCGCAUGGCAAAAUUUGAACCUCGAUAGGAUUCAAAUUAGGCCAAGGGAUCUUGCAAAGAAUAACGAUUGCUUAUCCAGGUACUUAUAUAAAAAAAUUGGAUCUUUAUGUAUCUUAAUUUAAUGUGGUCAUAUUUUGAAUUCAGCACUUUGUGUGAUCCCUACUUGAACAUAUUCCGCGGAAUCAUUCCACCAUUGGGAGGGACAUUGGAUCUUUCUCCUAUUCUAGCAUUCUUGGUUCUAAAUGCCUUUUCCAGUACUGCUGCCGCACUUCCUGCUGAACUUCCGAAAACAGAAGCUUCUCAAGGAAGUUGUCCUCCGAAUACAAGAUUCACUAAUUUCACUACAUCACAGAAGAAAUGGAUGAGAAGGCUCUAUGGGAACAAGCCACAGAGCUCCACUGGUUCCAAUUAGGCUAUUAUCAUGAUAGUCUUCUAGGUAUACCCUUCGUGUAUUUUUUUUCUUUUUUUCAGCAUCUGAAUACUGGAUAGUCUCCUUCCGGCUAAUAAUUGACUUAAGCUUGCUGAAUUAUAGAAAUUCUUUUUGCUAUUAUUAAUAUUAGUUAUAUAUUCUUUUCGUGGAUAAGGCAUGUUGAUAACAUUCAUGUAAAUGAGCAGUGAGCUAUUGUAUUGAUACAUAAAUUAUUGUAGCAUAAGGCUGUCCUGUAAAAUUAUUCCCUGUUACAGAAACAUAAGCCACCCACCGCCUUCUCUCCUCUGCCAGAGAAAGCAGGAAAUAUUUUUUCAAAAAUCCAUUUUUUGCUCUUUGUGGAAAGCGAGAACUCUUGACACUUGAUGGCUAUGCAGGACUCGUAAAGAAUAACUGUUCACCAUGCUGAUCCUCUGAUCUACACUACAGUGUAGUUCUUCCAUUUUUCUGUCAUUUUGAAUAGCUGAUAGGUCUCUUGCAGUAAUUAAUCAGAAUUUUCUGGACGUGAGUACAUGAUAUGAAACAUCUUACACUUGCAGGCUUUGAGGAGUGUUGAUACUUGAUAUCCGCAGUCUUACCAUUGCUUUGCAAAUAGGCUGUUUCCAUACAUGGUACAUGAUGAUAAGGUUAAAUCAGAAAGCAUCUGAUUCUGACCAAUUAUGUGGAUAGCAUCUAGUUUCAAUUUUGUUAAUAGGGAAUAAUCUAUCCAUUUUAAUAUCUUCUUCACGUCCAUCCAAUCUAACUUCAUGGACAAGCUGCUGCCCAAAUAUUUUCUACAGAAUAAUUUCACAGCUUCCGGAAGGAUUCCCUUAGAAUUUAGAAAGGAUAGGUUUCAAGAGAGUGAAUCUUUAGAAGAACUCUUUAUCCUUUUGUGAUGCUCCUUCAGAUGUUCAUCGAAAUCCGAUAUUUAUUAACAAUUUUAAAGAAUAUUCCAUUUCAAUGAUGAAGAUGAAAAGUUCUAAUACUUAGCACAAGUACCCUCCACACUUUAGCUUCUUUUUUUAUUCUUGUAGCAUCCCUUUCUACAAGAUUAUGAUCAAAAUAAUAUCAACCAUCUGAUAUGGUUUGAUACACCGGCUUUUCUGCUGUUGGAUAUGUUUGAAAAUCUCUGUUUGGACCAAUCUAUUACUCUAGAUAAAGAAAAUAGUAAAGAGUUCUACUAGAAAGGAACAAUCAAGGGGAGUGCAAGGUACUAGAGAUAACAAGAACGAAGUUCCUGAGUUGAGUGAGUCGUCUUCUGAAUGGAGCCAAUAGCUAUAUGCAGGACUAGCAGGUCUUCCAGGUCUUCAUUGGGUGAGAGGGUUAUGUUUAUAGGCUUGGGCGUUCUUGCCGUGAUUUCACCUCUAUAUAUUAACCGGAGACCAGUUAUUGAAUCGGAGGAUGAUGAACAAUCCAUCAAUCUGUCUUCUUGGUUGCCUUUGCUGCUCUUGCUGCUGAUCUUGGCUAUUGCUUUAUCGAUGUAUGCAGACAAGCGCUUUACAAGGACUAGCAAGUUUUCCUCAUAUGAGAGGCUUGUGGGAAUUGGCAUGGGCCUUAUAGCAGUGAUUUCACCUUUGUAUAUCAACCGGAGACCAGAUAUUGAUCCAGAGCUUGAAGAACAAUCCAUCAACCUGGCUUCUUGGUUGCCUCUGCUGCUUUUGGUUCUGAUCUUGGCCAUUGCUUUGUCACUGUAUUUAGACCAGAGCCUUACCAGGUUUGAUCCUUAUUGGAUUCAUAGAAUUGGUGGCUCUUCUGGUGGAAUCAUUAUAAUACUUGUGAUUCUCGCAUUGGUUUUGAAAUGCAAGGCUUCUUAUGGGGGAAAGGCCGAAUGAAACAAGGAGAACAAGCAGCUUCCAGUAAAAAACCUUUCACUAUUCUUGUUUUCAGGAAAGAAUUUCCUUUGAUAAAUUAAACAUCUUUUAUUUGCUUCCCUUGUAGGGAAAUUUCCUUUUAAAUGUUAAAAAGCUUGCUUUUCUUCCUCUCUGUGCACCUCACUGCUAAUUAGUUUUUAGUUCUUCUAUAUUCCUAAACCAGUAAAGUGCCA